rnacentral:rRNA from 1 species
AACGAACGCUGGCGGCAGGCUUAACACAUGCAAGUCGAACGCAUCGCAAGAUGAGUGGCAGACGGGUGAGUAACGCGUGGGAACAUACCCUUUUCUACGGAAUAGCCCUGGGAAACUGGAAUUAAUACCGUAUACGCCCUACGGGGGAAAGAUUUAUCGGGGAAGGAUUGGCCCGCGUUGGAUUAGCUAGUUGGUGGGGUAAAGGCCUACCAAGGCGACGACCCAUAGCUGGUAGGAGAGGAUGAUCAGCCACAUUGGGACUGAGACACGGCCCAAACUCCUACGGGAGUCAGCAGUGGGAAAUAUUGGACAAUGGGCGCAAGCCUGAUCCAGCCAUGCCGCGUGAGUGAUGAAGGCCUUAGGGUUGUAAAGCUCUUUCACCGAUGAAGAUAAUGACGGUAGUCGGAGAAGAAGCCCCGGCUAACUUCGUGCCAGCCGCCGCCGUAACAC